rnacentral:lncRNA from 1 species
CGGGGAUGCGGUCUGGAUUCUGGAGGAGGCCUCGGCGCGCAGCUGGGCGAGUACUAACUGUUUGCACUCUCAUCAGACCUGCCUCGGUCAUGGGAGAAGUUGAAGACUUUCUGCAAUGCAGCAUCUUCAAGCAAUACACACAUGGAUGAAAAUCCUAAAGUUUGCAUGAAGGACCAAUAACGGUAGUUUCCCUGCCCCUCUACCAGAACCCCUGGGAUCAGCGCCUGCCUGCCUCCUUUCUUCUAUGUAAUCGGCGGCCACCUCCCCUAGCUCUUGCUGCUAACCAUGCUUCCCGGACACCUGCUGCCUUCGUAGUGCCUAGAAACAGGCAAAGUGAGGGAGCUCCUUUGCUAGAUGAUCUUCAGAGCCUCUCCCAGCUGUGACCAGAAAUGGAAAGCCAGAGAAGGAUGCCUCGGGGUGGAAACGGGAUGACAGCCAGUGGUUUCUCCACACAUGGACUUGCCAGAACCUUUCCCGAAAUGCUAGGUUGGAAAACUCACAGCUGAUUAAUUACCGCAGUCCACGGCUUACUCCGUCGGGUGGACACAGCGUCCCUCCCCUCUGGAGGAUGCAGCAACAAAAUGCCUCCUUGGAAGCUGAGAGCAGCCCUCACUGGACAACAGAACCUGCUGGCGCUGUGAUCUUGGACUUCCCAACCUCCAGAACAGACUGACUGUAGUCAUAAAGCAGGAUGGACAGCAUCCAGCUGGGUCUUGAGUGGUGGCCCAUACCGAUGUGGACUCCCAUGAUCUGGACUGGCUGGGAGGAUGCUACUGCCUGGUGGCCCCACGCCUGUUGGCCAUGGGAGUUUUGGCCUUCACGUGUUAACUGAAAUAAUGAACACCAUGGUGCUCCAGGUCUCUCGCUCCCAUCCAGGCAUUCUCCACCUGAUAUCUCUCUGGAGGGUGGAUGCUUUUGUCAGCUGUGUCCUCAAUAAACUGCAACCAGGCAUGGGGCAAUGUGGAGGGAGGGAAGAGAUUUAAAUUCAUUUUCUGGGGGGAAGAGUCACCUCCUACUGGAAUCAAGAGCUAAAAAGAGUUCUCCCAUGUGUGCAGUGCCACGUAACUUCCGGUGUAAUGCCACGAAACACCCACACGUGGAAAACACAGUUGCCAGUUCUUCCUCCUCCACCGUGCAGCUCCGGGGAGCUGUGGGGAGCCAGCCCCCUCCAGAAUUAUCUGAUGCCAGCGUUGGCGUGGACAUAAUAAUGAACAAAUAAGCAUUUUUUUAAAUUGACAAGGUGAAAAAGAAGGUUUAGGAUUAAGGAAUCUUGCCUGAGGAUUAGUCGAAUGUCAGUGAGGAGAAAUAACACUGAAUAGACCCAAAAUAUGUUUUCAGGAAACCUCGAAAAUGCUUUCUGCAUAAUAUUAUAUCUCCCUCUGCUAGAACUGCCAAUUUUGAGUUUCUCACUAUUUUUAUUUUCUUGAGAAAUGAUCAUUUUUAUAAAUAGCCUUUUAAAUGUCAAACUAACUGGUUGAAUAAUUUAUCUCUACUUCUUAUCCUGAAUAACUCAACCCUUGCUUGAUUUUCUAAAGGGUUGGGGGAAAGGGGUUCUCAGACAUAAGCGCCCAGAAUAAAUCCUUCUGUCUGUUAGAGGCUUUGGCUGUCUCCUUUCCCGCGGGUGGUGUGGGCUCCCUGUGGCUGGAAGGCGGCUGUCCUUCCGACGGCUUGCUUCCGCUUGGCUCUGCUCGCUCUUCAGUCACAGCCACAGCAGGGUCCAUGAAGGCAGAUGACAGACGGGAACCCCCAAGAGGCACCUAACCAGGGAUCACGUGUGCUUUCCAUGAAGCCACAGGAGGACCAUGACUCACUCCUCAGAGCAGCAACCCAGGGCUGCGGCAUGAUGGGCCUGGUCGGCGCUGGGUGCCUCGUUCGGUGCCGGCAGGAACCAGCACGCACUCAGGCUGAUGAGACCAGGAGGGUCAGCUGGACCCUGACCAUGGUUCUCAAAGGGUGUGCCAGGACCUGCAACAGAAGCACCACUUGGGAACUUGUCAGAAAUGCAAAUUCUUGCCCCUCCUCUAGGCCCGCUGAAUCCUAAACUCUGGAGGUGGGGCCAAGCCAUCUGUGAAUGAACUCCCGCUCCGGGUCGCACCGACCCACCCUCACGUGUGAGAACCCCGGUCUAGGACCCUGGUUCUCCAACUCGCCUGUAUAUGUUUUCAAAAUGCUUGACCUCUCACUGGGAAUUUUUUAAAAAAUAAAUUUUAAAAAU